rnacentral:rRNA from 1 species
UACGGGGGGAGCAAGCGUUGUUCGGAUUUAUUGGGCGUAAAGGGCGCGUAGGCGGCACCGCAAGUCGACUGUGAAAUCUCCGGGCUUAACCCGGAAAGGUCAGCCGAUACUGCGGGGCUAGAGUGCAGAAGGGGCAACUGGAAUUCUCGGUGUAGCGGUGAAAUGCGUAGAUAUCGAGAGGAACACCUGCGGCGAAGGCGGGUUGCUGGGCUGACACUGACGCUGAUGCGCGAAAGCUAGGGGAGCGAACGGG